rnacentral:lncRNA from 11 species
AUGCAUGGAAGACACAUGUUUUCCUCCCCUCCCUCCUGCCCCCCAUUUCAACUUACUGGAGGAAGCCGUUCAUGCAGGACUGCAGCGUUUGCCUCUCUUCCCUCUCCAUGGAAGAACAGGGCACUUUGGGGAGAAAUCCCCCCUCUCCUCCCCAAAGCCCUCUUUCGGAUCCUCUAAGGGAGGGGGGAAUGGAGGGAGGCUUCAAGCCCGAAAGGACACUCAAGAACACAUCCACCAUGGAAAGUUCCCAAUGCUGUUUUCCUAAAAGCGUGUGCAGUAACUAGCCCUCCUCAGCAAUUUCAGUUGAAGAAAGGCAAGAUUGAUAAUUUUGUCUCUUGUUGAGCCAUCAUCUUUUCUUCCUUUCUGAUUCUUAUCUAAAGCUACCAUUCAAUUGCUGAAUUCUUUUCCUCUAAGGACUAUUAUUUCAAUUACCUAUAUCCGCCUUUUAUUGAUUACUGUCAGCCUGUGGUCCUUUACUAGACUGCCAAAAUCAUAGUAAAUGUGUUCAAUUCUUUGCUCCUGGAAAUUUAAACUUUGGAAUUAUUUCAUUUUUAUCUGGAAGUAUUAAAAUAAUUUCAGUUUUGAC